UACGGAGGGGGCUAGCGUUGUUCGGAAUUACUGGGCGUAAAGCGCGCGUAGGCGGAUCUGCAAGUCGGGGGUGAAAGCCCGGGGCUCAACUCCGGAACUGCCUUUAAGACUGCAUCGCUAGAAUUGUGGAGAGGUAAGUGGAAUUCCGAGUGUAGAGGUGAAAUUCGUAGAUAUUCGGAAGAACACCAGUGGCGAAGGCGACUUACUGGACACAUAUUGACGCUGAGGUGCGAAAGCGUGGGGAGCAAACAGG
rnacentral:rRNA from 1 species